GGUGGCUCAAUGGCAGAGUGUUUGCCUUGCAUGCAUGAGGCCCUGGGUUCGAUUCCUCAGCACCA
rnacentral:tRNA from 1 species